UAUCUGAUGGAGUAUAGGGAAAUGCCUUACUGGAGUGCGGUGUUCCCAAUUAUUUGACAGUGUAUUGUCAGCUAAUCAGAAAUAAGGGCACAGAACUGUAUUUCCUGUGUGAAAUUUAUAAUUUACAUCUUUAUGAUUCAGAAAUAAAUGCCUUGGAGCUCACAAGCCUGUGAGCAAAACAGCUGCUGAGCUGACAGUGAGUCUUCGUCUUCCUCCUCUGCUCUGCUGCAGCCACCUCCACUCUCCCAGCAGAAACACGAAAGCCUGGGUAGUCCGGUCCCUCUCAGGCCCACUUCCAAGGCUUUCUGGGUAAGCAGGUGCACACAUCCCUCCCGCUGAGGAGUUUGGCCUACGCCAUUUCAACCUGGAACUAGCUCCACCCGGGCGGGGCCCUUUGUGACCUGUCCCUGUGACACCCAGGGAUAGCUGGCACCGACAUAGCGGCCCCGCAGUGUCCGGCAGGACAGCGAGGCUAUAGGUCAGGAGCGUGCGGGUCUGGCGAGGAGCCCCCGAGCGCACUCCACGUUGUUUCCCUAUACCCUUGGCAGCCCCACAUCUGCCCCCACCCCAUCCUCAGUCCUCAUCCUGCAGGAUGGAGGGGAAACCCCCUAGACACCCCAAGGUGGCCUGGGCAGAGAGUGAGGCUCCCCAGGAGAGGAGAGCUCCACUGGAGCCCUACGAAGUGACCGAGGUGCAGCCACUGCAUGCUGAUGCUGACUGGCUGCUUGUGUGUGAAGAGGAAAAGGAGGCCGUUGAUUGCAUCGAAGCCUAUGUCAUCAGCAAGGAAAAGAAUCUGGAGCAGAAGAUGCAGUUCCUGAA